UAAGGAAUAUUGGUCAAUGGACGCAAGUCUGAACCAGCUAUGCCGCGUGAAGGAUUAAGGUCCUCUGGAUUGUAAACUUCUUUUAUCUGGGACGAAAAAAGGUUUUUCUAAGCCUCUUGACGGUACCAGAUGAAUAAGCACCGGCUAACUCCGUGCCAGCAGCCGCGGUAAUACGGAGGGUGCAAGCGUUGUCCGGAAUUAUUGGGCGUAAAGAGCUCGUAGGUGGUUCGUCACGUCGGAUGUGAAAAUCUGGGGCUCAACCUGGGAAGUGCAUUUGAAACUAGUAGACUUGAGUAUGGGAGAGGGAAGUGGAAUUCCUGGUGUAGAGGUGAAAUUCGUAGAUAUCAGGAGGAACACCGGUGGCGAAGGCGACUUCCCGGACCAAUACUGACGCUGAGGCGCGAAGGCGUGGGGAGCAAACAGG
rnacentral:rRNA from 1 species